UACAGAGGGGGCAAGCGUUGUACGGAAUUACUGGGCGUAAAGGGCGCGUAGGCGGCCUGCUAAGUCGAACGUGAAAUCCCCGAGCUCAACUCGGGAACUGCGUCCGAUACUGGCAGGCUUGAAUCCGGGAGAGGGAUGCGGAAUUCCAGGUGUAGCGGUGAAAUGCGUAGAUAUCGGGAGGAACACCAGUGGCGAAGGCGACUACCUGGCCUGUUCUUGACGCUGAGGCGCGAAAGCUAGGGGAGCGAACGGG
rnacentral:rRNA from 1 species